UACGUAGGGGGCAAGCGUUGUCCGGAUUUAUUGGGCGUAAAGAGCGUGUAGGCGGCCAGACAGGUCUGCUGUGAAAACUCGAGGCUCAACCUCGAGACGGCCGGUGGAAACCGUCUGGCUAGAGUCCGGAAGAGGAGAGUGGAAUUCCUGGUGUAGCGGUGAAAUGCGCAGAGAUCGGGAGGAACACCAGUGGCGAAGGCGGCUACCUGGACCAGCACUGACACUGAAGCACGAAAGCGUGGGGAGCAAACAGG
rnacentral:rRNA from 1 species